UCCCUGGUGGUCUAGUGGUUAGGAUUCAGUGCUCUCGCUGCCGUGGCCCAGGUUCGAUUCCUGGUCAGGGAA